UACAGAGGUCUCAAGCGUUGUUCGGAUUCAUUGGGCGUAAAGCGCGUGUAGGCGGCUUGGCAAGUCGGGUGUGAAAGCCCUCAGCUCAACUGAGGAAGUGCGCCCGAAACUGCUAGGCUUGAGUGCCAAAGAGGAUGGUGGAAUUCCCGAAGUAGAGGUGAAAUUCGUAGAUAUCGGGAGGAACACCGGUGGCGAAGGCGACCAUCUGGUUGGUAACUGACGCUGAGACGCGAAAGCGUGGGUAGCAAACAGG
rnacentral:rRNA from 1 species